UUUUUGAAAGCUUUAAAGUUUGGGAUUUAAGGCCAUGACUAUUGACUGUAUUUUUAAACAUGCCUAUUAUUUUCAGAGGGGCAGUCUUAGUAUUAAUUGCUGAAAGAGCUGUUUAAAUGACUAAAAAUUCACAAUCCUUGUCAGCCAUUACUUAUUUUUCAGCAAGUGCAAUAAGCACUGUAUUAGUCUGAAUACCUAUAGGAAUUCACCAGAUGUUUUAGGAUGUUGUGUUUGGCAUUAUUCCCUCACAGGUGUAAGAAGUGGGUUGUUGCUUUAGUGGUAACAGUGAUUUUUGAAUUAAAACUUUACUAUUAGCAAACACUAAAAUAUAUAAAUACCAGUACUGUUGCAAAGAAGUAGGCGACACACAAUCAGUAUUUCAAAUCUCAUCUACCUCAAUUUAACCUAAGUGAUUUAAUAACAAUGCUCUUAGAAAAUAUUUAGUACUUUUAGAUGUUUGUCCUUUUAUUUUCUAACUUUCUAAAAAGGGUGCUCUGUUUUUACUAAAUUAUAUGUGCCUAUGUUUGAUAACUAAAUAUGAGAUACACUCUGAUUGUAUAUCUUUCUGUCUAGAAAGUGAAACAUUAUUAUAGUACUUCCUAGUAGUCUAUUAA
rnacentral:lncRNA from 1 species